UACGUAGGUGGCAAGCGUUGUCCGGAUUUACUGGGUGUAAAGGGCGUGUAGGCGGGUAUGCAAGUCAGAUGUGAAAUCCCGUGGCUCAACUGCGGAACUGCAUCUGAAACUGCGUAUCUUGAGUGUCGGAGGGGAAAGUGGAAUUCCUGGUGUAGCGGUGAAAUGCGUAGAUAUCAGGAGGAACACCGGUGGCGAAGGCGACUUUCCGGACGACAACUGACGCUGAGACGCGAAAGCGUGGGGAGCAAACAGGAUUAGAUACC
rnacentral:rRNA from 1 species